rnacentral:rRNA from 1 species
UACGUAGGGUCCGAGCGUUGUCCGGAAUUAUUGGGCGUAAAGGGCUCGUAGGCGGUUUGUCACGUCGGGAGUGAAAACUCGGGGCUCAACCCUGAGCGUGCUUCCGAUACGGGCAGACUAGAGGUAUGCAGGGGAGAACGGAAUUCCUGGUGUAGCGGUGGAAUGCGCAGAUAUCAGGAGGAACACCGGUGGCGAAGGCGGUUCUCUGGGCAUUACCUGACGCUGAGGAGCGAAAGCAUGGGGAGCGAACAGG